rnacentral:rRNA from 1 species
UACGUAGGGUGCGAGCGUUGUCCGGAAUUAUUGGGCGUAAAGAGCUCGUAGGCGGUUUGUCACGUCUGCUGUGAAAUCCCGAGGCUCAACCUCGGGCCUGCAGUGGGUACGGGCAGACUGGAGGUGCGGUAGGGGAGAAUGGAAUUCCUGGUGUAGCGGUGGAAUGCGCAGAUAUCAGGAGGAACACCGAUGGCGAAGGCAGUUCUCUGGGCCGUAACUGACGCUGAGGAAGCGAAAGCGUGGGGAGCGAACAGG